GUGCUUUUGUGCAGUUGUGCUUCUGUGUCUAUCAGUCCAUAUGUGAGAAUGUGUGUAGUACGGUACAUGAUGUUGGGGAGGAGGCUGUAUAUAGCUAGAUACAGGCUGUUAGAACCAUCGAGGAGUUUUCAGAGCCUACACUGAAUGUUUUGAAUUGCAGAGAGUGAAAGAUCUGGAAAAAAAGGGACGGAAAGUUUUAGGUACCAGCAUCCUUGUGGAGGGCCCCUGAAGUGAGAGGAACAGUCUCCGGUGCUGCAGUGUUUUCGAAGUCAGACUUGCCCAGGAGCUCAAAUUUAAGAAUUUUACACGCCCCGCACCCCCACCUCCGACCUCGUUUCUCCCUGUGGAGAAAAUCUUUUUGGUAGCUUUCUGGUUCGUCUGUAGAAUUCCCGAAGGUCUUCCAGAGGCUCUGAUAGAAGUGAAUAGUGCGGGCUGUGGUGCUGACCACCGCAACGUCUUAAGAGUGAAAAGUGUACUGGGCAAGGUUGACGUAUCUGCCUCCGGUACAUAAAGGCAAGACCUACACCAACUUGCGGGCAUGGUGCUGGCGGAGAGAGGAGGGGGCAGGUACCAGAUGGUAGGAUAGGCAGGCUUCUAGAUAAACUCAGGCAGGGAGUCUAAGGAGGUGGGAAGCACAAAUCCCAUUAAAAUCCCAUUCAGUUACACAUCGUCUGGUGUGUAGAAGAGGGACGAAACACUGAUCCUCAACCCCUCCCUAAUAUCCUUCUCCUGCACUGCUUCUAUGCCAAAUCCAGAUCCACUGCCUUUCCCCCUCGCACCACACACACCAGAUCAUCCCCUGUGUGGAAGGGGAGAAUAGUGGGUUGUCUAAGCUGGGCUGAGGAGUCUGGUGUGGGGAGGGGCAUUUGGACCUGGAAUUUUGGUUAGGAAGGGCAUUGAGCACUGACAUUGAGGGUGUCAGGAGGGAAUCUGUGGUGGGAAUAGCGUGGGAGACUGUGCUGCCCACCUUGCAGAGGAGAGAUAAUACAUGGGAGCUAGUUGUGAGGUGUGAGAUGCUACGGCUGUGGGAAAGGAGGUUUGGACGGUGAGAGGGGAAGGCAUUAGGCACAGACUGAAUAAUGAUGUCAUAGCAGGAGAGUCAGAGGUGUGUGUGUGUGUGUGAAGGGAGAGUGCAUUAAAGAGAGAUGAACUACGGAUUAAGGUGCAGGUGAGUAUGGGCAGAGGUGAUCAGGUGCCUCUACUGAUGAGGUUUCUGCUGCAAGCGGAGGAAGGAGACUGAAAAAGUUGCCCCUCCUACUUUUGGUGAAGCUCGGUUUAUGUCCUAUCUGGGUGUGAGGUAGCUGAGGACCCGAAAUUACAAUAUCAUUGAGGAGAGUCCUUAGGAUGGAUAAAGGGGACUGGAAUGUGUAUAGGAAGGAACAUGAGGAUCUUAUUCACUGGAAGGGCAGAGGGAGGAAAAGAACCUUCAUGUUAUGUUAUAUAAAAUGAAAAAGGGGUACUGCAUUGGGAGAUGGAAGGUCUUCUGGGUUUGAAUACUACCUUUGCUACUCUGUGACCUUAGGUAAAUUAAUGAUUCCCUUCUCUGGCCUCAAUUUCCUCAACAGCAAAAUUAGGAGGUUGGACUAGAUGAUGCUAAAUAAAGGUCCUUUCUGCCUCAGUGAUGCUUUAUUUCAAGACAAGAAGGGUCAUUUGGUUGUUCGAUAACCCCUGAAUUUGAUCUCUGUAGGAAGGAGCACAGGGGUUAUGGGAGAGUGUGAAGGAAGGCUUUGCACAGUGCUAGGCACAUUGUAUUAUUCAGUAUU